AUGUUUAUCCGACCUGACACCGACGGAACGACCGACAAGUGUGAAUUAGUUAGAGAACAAAAUGGGGUGGGAUUUUCUACCAAAGAAAAUGUUGAAGAGCUAGCAUUUUUUGUGAUAAAUUUGAUUCGUUGUAAAUAUGAGACAAAAAAGUUGAAGCAAUGUACUUCUGAGACAUAUAUAAUAUAA